UACAGAGGUGGCAAGCGUUGUUCGGAAUUACUGGGCGUAAAGCGUGCGCAGGCGGUUUUGUAAGUCAGAUGUGAAAUCCCCGGGCUUAACCUGGGAACUGCGUUUGAAACUACAAGGCUAGAGUGUGACAGAGGGGGGUGGAAUUCCACGUGUAGCAGUGAAAUGCGUAGAGAUGUGGAGGAACACCGAUGGCGAAGGCAGCCCCCUGGGUUAACACUGACGCUCAGGCACGAAAGCGUGGGGAGCAAACAGG
rnacentral:rRNA from 1 species